CAGGAUGAACGCUAGCGGCAGGCCUAAUACAUGCAAGUCGAACGGAAUAUAGUUUUCGGAUUAUAUUUAGUGGCGCACGGGUGAGUAACACGUACAUAACUUACCCUCAAGAGGGGGAUAGCCUUGGGAAACUGAGCGUAAUACCCCAUAGUAUUAUUGAACGGCAUCGUUUGAUAAUUAAAGCUACGGCGCUUGAGGAUAGAUGUGCGUCUGAUUAGCUAGUUGGUAAGGUAACGGCUUACCAAGGCGACGAUCAGUAGGGGGCGUGAGAGCGUGGCCCCCCCACACGGGUACUGAGACACGGACCCGACUCCUACGGGAGGCAGCAGUAAGGAAUAUUGGUCAAUGCCCGGAAGGGUGAACCAGCCAUGCCGCGUGAAGGAUGACUGCCCUCUGGGUUGUAAACUUCUUUUGGAUGGGACGAAAAAACGGGAUUUAUCCUGGACUGACGGUACCAUCAGAAUAAGCACCGGCUAACUCCGUG
rnacentral:rRNA from 1 species